rnacentral:rRNA from 1 species
GAUAAACGCUAGCGGCAGGCUUAACACAUGCAAGUCGAGGGGCAGCAUAGAUUGUAGCAAUACAAUUGGUGGCGACCGGCGCACGGGUGCGUAACGCGUAUGCAACCUACCCGUCACAGGGGGAUAAUCCGGAGAAAUCUGGUCUAAUACCCCAUAACAUAUGGAUCGGCAUCGGAUCAUGUUGAAAUUUUCGGAGGUGACGGAUGGGCAUGCGUAGCAUUAGCUUGUUGGUGAGGUAACGGCUCACCAAGGCGACGAUGCUUAGGGGGACUGAGAGGUUUUCCCCCCACACUGGUACGGAGACACGGACCAGACUCCUACGGGAGGCAGCAGUGAGGAAUAUUGGUCAAUGGGCGCAAGCCUGAACCAGCCAUGCCGCGUGCAGGAGGACGGCUCUAUGAGUUGUAAACUGCUUUUGUACGAGGGUAAAGUGGGUUACGUGUAACCUUUUGAAAGUAUCGUACGAAUAAGGAUCGGCUAACUCCGUGCCAGCAGCCGCCGCCG